rnacentral:lncRNA from 1 species
AAUUUAGGGUUAGGAGUAUAUCUCUAUCUUCUACAAAAACUUAAGGCACUACUAUUUUUGUUUAAAAUGAACAAUAAUCUCUCAACAAUUGCACAAAUCACUCAACACAAUCAUUUAUUGGCACAUAAAUGAGAAACAUUAAAUACAACAGUAAAUACACAAGAACAUAAGCAUUUUAACAUUAAAUAACAAAUAUUGAAAUUAAUCACACGAGGUUAAGCUACCUCUAUUACCCUAACAUUAAAAAGCUUAACUCAUUGUAUAAAAGUGGCACAAAAUGGAAAAGUUAGAGAAAUACAUUACAAAAUAGGGAAAAUAAAUGAUGAAAUACAAGACAAUAGGUGGAAUCCGUCCCUUGAACAGAUUCUUGAAGAUUGCAAGGGCUUAAUCUUGAUUUUCCUAAAGCCUCUCCACUUUUUCCUUGGUAUUCUUCUUCUUUUCAUGCUUCUUUACCCUUCUCAAUACUCUUCAAUGUGGUGCAUAAUAAAGCCUUUGAAAUUUCUCAAAAAGCCUCUUAAACUUGCACAAAUUUGCUCGUGUGAGUUGCCCAUCGCAAGGGUGCCGUUUAAGUCGG